rnacentral:rRNA from 1 species
UACAGAGGUCUCAAGCGUUGUUCGGAUUCAUUGGGCGUAAAGGGUGCGUAGGUGGCGCCGUUAAGUCAGGUGUGAAAUUUCGGAGCUUAACUCCGAAACUGCAUUUGAUACUGCGGUGCUUGAGGACUGGAGAGGAGACUGGAAUUUACGGUGUAGCAGUGAAAUGCGUAGAGAUCGUAAGGAAGACCAGUGGCGAAGGCGGGUCUCCGUGGACAGUUCCUGACACUGAGGCAACGAAGG